GUCUACUAUCCAGCGAAA
rnacentral:snRNA from 1 species